UCAGUGGCGAACGGGUGAGUAACACGUGAGUAACCUGCCCCAGACUCUGGAAUAACCCCGGGAAACCGGAGCUAAUACCGGAUACGACACCAAUCCGCAUGGGUAUGGUGUGGAAAGUUUUUCGGUCUGGGAUGGACUCGCGGCCUAUCAGCUUGUUGGUGAGGUAGUGGCUCACCAAGGCGACGACGGGUAGCCGGCCUGAGAGGGCGACCGGCCACACUGGGACUGAGACACGGCCCAGACUCCUACGGGAGGCAGCAGUGGGGAAUAUUGCACAAUGGGCGCAAGCCUGAUGCAGCGACGCCGCGUGAGGGAUGACGGCCUUCGGGUUGUAAACCUCUUUCAGCAGGGAAGAAGCGCAAGUGACGGUACCUGCAGAAGAAGCACCGGCUAACUACGUGCCAGCAGCCGCGGUAAUACGUAGGGUGCGAGCGUUGUCCGGAAUUAUUGGGCGUAAAGAGCUUGUAGGCGGUUUGUCGCGUCUGCUGUGAAAAUCCGAGGCUCAACCUCGGACUUGCAGUGGGUACGGGCAGACUAGAGUGUGGUAGGGGAGACUGGAAUUCCUGGUGUAGCGGUGAAAUGCGCAGAUAUCAGGAGGAACACCGAUGGCGAAGGCAGGUCUCUGGGCCACUACUGACGCUGAGAAGCGAAAGCAUGGGGAGCGAACAGGAUUAGAUACCCUGGUAGUCCAUGCCGUAAACGUUGGGAACUAGGUGUGGGUCUCAUUCCACGAGAUCCGUGCCGCAGCUAACGCAUUAAGUUCCCCGCCUGGGGAGUACGGGCCGCAAGGCUAAAACUCAAAGGAAUUGACGGGGGGCCCGCACAAGCGGCGGAGCAUGCGGAUUAAUUCGAUGCAACGCGAAGAACCUUACCAAGGCUUGACAUACACCGGGAAAACGCUCAAGAGAUGGGCGCCCCCGCAAGGGUCGGUGUACAGGUGGUGCAUGGUUGUCGUCAGCUCGUGUCGUGAGAUGUUGGGUUAAGUCCCGCAACGAGCGCAACCCCUCGUUCUAUGUUGCCAGCGCGUUAUGGCGGGGACUCAUAGGAGACUGCCGGGGUCAACUCGGAGGAAGGUGGGGAUGACGUCAAAUCAUCAUGCCCCUUAUGUCUUGGGCUUCACGCAUGCUACAAUGGCCGGUACAAAGGGCUGCGAAACCGCGAGGUGGAGCGAAUCCCAAAAAACCGGUCUCAGUUCGGAUUGGGGUCUGCAACUCGACCCCAUGAAGUCGGAGUCGCUAGUAAUCGCAGAUCAGCAACGCUGCGGUGAAUACGUUCCCGGGCCUUGUACACACCGCCCGUCAAGUCACGAAAGUCGGUAACACCCGAA
rnacentral:rRNA from 1 species